CAUCUCAUCCUGGACUGCAUUCAAGAUCUUCCCAAUACAGGAAAAUUAGCAAAAAAUUUAUAUACAGGCAGCAGCGAAUGGAGCUAUGUUCAAAAUAGUAAUUAUGGGCUUAAGUAAAAGGAAGGCUGUUUUAAGCUUUAGUCCAGUGUAUCUGUUCAGUUCUCUGAGCUGUUGACCUCCCAAGACCGGCACUGUUGAGUAGGCCACACAAACCCUCUGCUUGUUCUAUUUUCCAAUACAGUUUUCAAUUUGUUUUUGUAAGACCUUAUUCAAGCCACCAGAAUCAAAGAUGACAUGUUAGCACAAGUACUCCAAAUAAGAAACUGUCAUGGGCUGACUCCUAGAGAUCGUUAGCAAAAGCAACCCCCAAAGAGUGAGUGAUCCAUAAUGUAAAUAGAGACAGCUAGAAAAGGGACUAAUAACUUGAAGGAUAUGUGUAUGAUGCAAAUACACACCAAGGCAUAGGUCUGCAAUACUGCAUUAUCACUGUAAAAUAUAAAUGAAAUGCAUUCUUAAUAUUGGAAACAGCAAUGCAGGAAUUAAAACUGAGUAAGAGAGUCUUCUAAUUCACCUAUUCACACAGACCUUAUAUUUAACUCUGAUGACUGGAUAGUAUU
rnacentral:lncRNA from 1 species